UUUGACCCCUAGCCUGGGAACCUCCAUAUGCCGCAGGUGUGGCCCUAAAAAGACGAACAAAACCAAACCAAACCCCACAAACCCUGACCUUUUUAUUCAUGAGACUGGCUCCAAAUUAAUGCAGACACAUACCCAGUCUCCACUAAAAUGAUAACUACCAAUUCUUAGGUAUUUGCUAUGCACCAAGCAAGGUCCUAAGCAUAUUCCAUGUAUUAUAUAAUUUUAUCUCGCAGUGAGGUCUGUUAAUAACCACAUUACAUAAAUUAGGAAAUUUGAUAUUAGAAAGAUUUAAGUCACUAAGCCACAUGGUGAGUAAGUACAGGAGCAAGCAUCUGAAGGCUGCCUAGUAUAACCUCAAAGCCCAUGCUCUGAACUACUGACUUAUUCUGUCCUUAAUGGAACUAAAAAAUGAGUUAUUUCGAUUUGCUAACAUACCUCUCUGGACAGUCUUUUUGGCAAUACUCAUAUAUAGCAUUAUUUUCAACCAAGUAAAAGUGAUAGAAUUUUCUUCUUACCAUCUCCUUUCCCCAUUCUCUUAUUCUUUGAUAUUUAUACAUAUAAAAUGUAAAAAAAGACCCAAAUUGAUUAAUUCUACUAAUAUCAAAAUUCAACCAUUUAUAGGCAGUUCCCAUGUGGUACAGUGGGUUAGAGAUCUGCCAUUGCCGCAGGUUUGAUCCCUGGCCCAGGAAUUUCCACAUGCUGUGGUUGUGGCCAAAAAAAAGCAUCCAUUUGUAUAGCUUUUUUAAGUCUUGUUUUGCUAAAACCAAAACCAAAACCAACGAACCAAACAGAACCACAGGUCUUCACCUAGUUUCUUGUCACUAUCAAGUUUCAAAUGAUGAAGGAAGCAAGAAUCACUGUUCUAGAUCAGAACCUGACCCACAAGAAAGAGGACUGGGUGGUCCAACGUCAGAUGGUCAGGUAUGAUCUCAGGGCCCAGCAACACAGCAUCAAGUGACGGGCACAGAAUGAGGAGCUAAGAUUUGCAAACGCCCAUGCGGGUACGAGGAUAGAGGUAGCUUAUGGAGCUCUCUCUGAGGUCUUGGUUUACAUAAGAUCGGGAAUGAGAUGGGAAAGGCGGAGUGCGUGAAUCAGGAGCUCCCUGAACCCGAGGGAACAGUGGAGAAUAGGCUGCUAUCCAGAAUAGGCAAAGAUUUAGAGACUGCUCCCUAAUCUCGGUUCAAGUGCCUUACACGUGCCAGCAAAGACAUUUAAAGGGCAUUAUUCCCACCCCUGCACUGGGGUUGGAGGAACGGCUACGGACUUUUGGGAAGUCCAGUCUCACCUUCCCAGAACUGCGGAUGUUGGGGACAGCAGCGGGACUGUCCCCCCCUUUAGGAGGCUUGAUCUAGCUCUUGGAUGCUUCUCCCACAGACUUCAGGUCAUCUGGGCCGGGAAGGCAGCACCUUCAGAAGAAAACAGGGUUUUAAUAGUUUUUGUAACUGUGAGAAAAGAAGCCUAUUUCCCUCCACCUGCACCUUUUCCUCUCUAGCACGAGGAAGAAAAAAACUGCAUUUGUCAGAAUUUCCUUCUGGCAGAGAAAUGUGAUCUUCAGAGAAAAAUCUUUAAUGAGUCCCUUUGGAGAAGGCGAGCUCUCAAAAGACCUGCCAGUAGGGUCUUAUGCCUCCUGACCUAAAGGGCUGCUGUGAGCCUGAGACCUUAAGGCUUGUAAAGCACUACAAUGCUUCCCUGGCCUGGGGGGAGUAUCGUAUCACGAUGUUCUAUUAUUAUCUUUUCUGGGAUCUUGUUCUGGAUGAAUCUCACAACAAACACUCUUUUUUUUUUCUGCCACAGCUGCCUUCGCGCCUUGUUAAAACCGAGGACCACAUUUGCUGAUGUCCAGACUUUUCAGACCUUUUCUCUCUUUCUUUCCCUAGAAGACCCACCCGGCUUCUUGCAGGUAAAACCAUCACUUUCAAGAACAGAGGAAUGCCAGCGGGAUGGGCGUGUGGCCGUUAUGAUAUCACCCAUCUUCAGAGACAAGACCUUGCCGAGCCGUCGCCCCCUGCUGGCCAUUAUGACAACCCGCGAUGACACCCCAGACCAGUCACAGGUGAAAGCCUGAAACCCACCAAGGAAAGGAGAUGUGUGAAAAUCAAUAUAGCAUGUGUGAAGGUACAAGUUAUGUGGAUACCAAAUAUAUGAGCACCACAACUUCUGUGAACAUAAAGGAAACUCCCCGAGACCUUACCCUGGGAUAACGCAAAUUCAGCUUGGCCUGGAUCUGCCCAGCUUUCAUCUCACUAACGUUGUCACAA